CGCUACGGGAGGCAGCAGUGAGGAAUAUUGGUCAAUGGACGAGAGUCUGAACCAGCCAAGUAGCGUGCAGGAUGACGGCCCUAUGGGUUGUAAACUGCUUUUAUACAGGGAUAAAGUGCACUACGUGUAGUGUUUUGUAGGUACUGUAUGAAUAAGGACCGGCUAAUUCCGUGCCAGCAGCCGCGUAAU
rnacentral:rRNA from 1 species